GGGGGCGAAAUGGUCUCGACUGCUAAGGUAGAACGCAGGUCGCAUGCGGAGGAUGAUCGUUGGCCUCCUUAAUCAUCGGUCGAAAAAGUAACUGCGAAAAACGAACUCGCACUCGCUGCUUAAGUACAGCGACGUCUCUACCCGGAUGCCUGAUAAGGGAUAGAGACGCAAACAUCGGGCUGGUUCACAAGCCGCGCCAGCGGGCCUGAGAACAAGACUCAACAGAUGGCCGCUUUCUCCGCCGUGUGUGGACGCCACCAAAACGGAGAACUAAGAUUAAAUCGCGUCCUAAGCAUGUAGACGCCUUCGGGAAAUCUUCUCAGGACCCGGGUUCGACUCCCGGCGCCUCCACCA
rnacentral:tmRNA from 1 species